GUAAAAUGUUAAUUUAGAUGUUUUGUGAAUUAAACUUGUUAGGUUUUCACUUCUUUACAGUGACCACUUCUCAGAAACUGGAGAGAACAUUGCACGUUUUCCACAGAUUUGGAUGAGAACAAUGCUGGAAACUUUAGGGAGGCUCAGGGAAGAAGUGGGACUUCAUAGGUCUUCAGAAUCAUGCUGAGAAGUAUUGGAAUGCAGUCCUCCAAACACCCCCAGGGUAUCAGCUGGCUAAUACUUCCCAGAUUACUUCAGUCUGCCUCUACAUUGGCAUCUUAUUUGAAAAUCUUUUUCCUACUUGUGUUUCCUUUGAAUCAUUGCUACUGAAUGUGACUGGUGCUCCGAAAGUAUGUUACAAAGAGACCUGGGAGAAAGAUGAGAUGUCCUCACUGUCUUGUUGGAGUGACUGUGGCAUUCAUAUUGCCUUAGUUGGCCACAAUCUCUGUGUCACUGAAGAAACUACACACUGAAUUGACAAGUCACUGGGAUGACUGUGAACACGAAAUCUCACCUCUCUGCUACAUUAAAUAAUGGAGUUUUUGGGUAACACCCCAGACAGUGCACUACUGGUUCAAGAUAGUUGAACAAUUUUUUGGAUAAUGACUAAAAUCUUCUUCAGUGUGUAAGUGUUAUUUAUAAUCAAUACUUUCUAAACCCCGCAAAUUGACAUAUUUGGCUGCAUUGAGGAUGGUUCUGCUGAAAACACAGAUUGUGCGAUACAAAGUUCUGCCUCAUCGAAUUUAUGAAUAUCAAGCGUAGGAAAAUCUGCUUUGCUCAGAAUUUGUAAUAAUUCAGCAUAUGUUAUUUUGUCAUAGACUUUCAUUUGAAAGAGGAAAUUGCUCUUAAACUGUUCAGAUGGAGGGCCCAUAUAUAUAAGGAUAUCUGUUUGAGGAAAGCAUCUGUCUUCUUGUAUGAGGUUUUUUUUUGGCCAAGAUUAGUACUAUGAAUUGCCUAUUCCUAUUACUGAGAACUCAGAUAAGAUGUAGCUGUUUUGUAGCUGAACUGUAUUAUACUUCAUGAGUUGUUUUUUUCAAUUUUUCUUGGUUAAACAAAUGGCUGAAGUUAAGCUUGUUUCAUUUUACAGCCCUUUUAAGGAAAGCUGGAUGUAGACCACUCCAAGUUUUUUUCUCAUCAAGAAAGUCAUGUCAUUUGUUUUCAUCCUUUUUGCUGGCUGAAUCUCUGGCUGCUUGUUAUGUACCUCAUCAUUCUGCUGCUGAGUAGUCCAUGUGAUUGCUUUCCAGUCUCUAAAAUCAGUUCAUC
rnacentral:lncRNA from 1 species